AGCCAAUACGAGCCACGGCAUACAGCUCAGUAACACGUGGCUAAUCUGCCCUUAGGACGAGAACAACCCCGGGAAACUGGGGCUAACUCUCGAUAGGCGAAGAAUUCUGGAAUGAGUCUUCACCUAAAUAGUUCAGCGUUACGCUCGUUGGACCGCCUAAGGAUGAGGCCGCGACCGAUCAGGUUGUUGGUGAGGUAAUGGCUCACCAAGCCUUUUACCGGUGCGGGCCGUGAGAGCGGGAGCCCGGAGAUGGGCACUGAGACAAGGGCCCAGGCCCUACGGGGCGCAGCAGUCGCGAAAACUUUGCAAUACACGAAAGUGUGACAGGGCUAUCCCGAGUGCCAUCCGCUGAGGAAGGCUUUUACCCAGUCUAGAAAGCUGGGGGAAUAAGGAGAGGGCAAGUCUGGUGUCAGCCGCCGCGGUAAUACCAGCUCUCCGAGUGGUGUGGAUGUUUAUUGGGCCUAAAGCAUCCGUAGCUGGCUAAGUUAGUCCCUUGUUAAAUCCACCGAAUUAAUCGUUGGAUUGCGGGGGAUACUGCUUGGCUAGGGGACGAGAGAGGCAGACGGUAUUUCCGGGGUAGGGGUGAAAUCCUAUAAUCCCGGGAAGACCACCAGUGGCGAAGGCUGUCUGCUAGAACGCGCCCGACGGUGAGGGAUGAAAGCUGGGGGAGCGAACCGGAUUAGAUACCCGGGUAGUCCCAGCUGUAAACGAUGCAGGCUAGGUGUUUGGACGGCCACGUGCCGUUCUAGUGCCGCAGGGAAGCUGUUAAGCCUGCCGCCUGGGGAGUACGAUCGCAAGAUUGAAACUUAA
rnacentral:rRNA from 1 species